GAUGAACGCUGGCGGCGUGCCUAAUACAUGCAAGUCGAGCGAACGGACGAGAAGCUUGCUCCUCUGAUGUUAGCGGCGGACGGGUGAGUAACACGUGGAUAACCUACCUAUAAGACUGGGAUAACUUCGGGAAACCGUAGCUAAUACCGGAUAAUAUUUUGAACCGCAUGGUUCAAAAGUGAAAGACGGUCUUGCUGUCACUUAUAGAUGGAUCCGCGCUGCAUUAGCUGGUUGGUAAGGUAACGGCUUACCAAGGCAACGAUGCAUAGCCGACCUGAGAGGGUGAUCGGCCACACUGGAACUGAGACACGGUCCAGACUCCUACGGGAGGCAGCAGUAGGGAAUCUUCCGCAAUGGGCGAAAGCCUGACGGAGCAACGCCGCGUGAGUGAUGAAGGUCUUCGGAUCGUAAAACGCUGUUAUUAGGGAAGAACAUAUGUGUAAGUAACUGUGCACAUCUUGACGGUACCUAAUCAGAAAGCCACGGCUAACUACGUG
rnacentral:rRNA from 1 species